AUGGAUCAUGAGGUCUUGGAGCGUAUAAUUGAUGGAAGGCAGAAGGCGGCAGAUCUACCAUUUGCACUUUUGAAGGAUAUCACAGAAAAAUUUUCCGACGAUAGAGAAAUUGGCCAUGGUGGAUUCGCAACAGUCUAUCGGGGUGUCCUCCGAAACGGGAAAACCAUUGCUGUCAAAAGGAUAAGGAGCAACCAUUCAAUCAAUGAGACAUUAUUUGGCCGUGAAGUUGACACCCUGUUGAACAUUGAACAUGAAAAUGUGGUAAGGUUUCUUGGCUUUUGUGCUAGCACAAACAAGAUAUCCAUAAAAAUUGAAGGAUUAAAAGAGCAUACUUACGCCGAAGUAAGAGAAAGAUUGUUAUGUUUUGAGUAUAUCAGCAAUGGAAGCCUACAAGAAUAUAUUACUGAUGAAUUACGAGGACUUGAAUGGAACACACGUUAUGAAAUAAUAAGAGGCAUUUGUGAAGGUUUGUAUCAUCUGCACAACGAAAAGCAAAUAUAUCAUAUGGAUAUGAAACCUGACAAUAUACUACUAGACAAUGAUAUGAUGCCGAAAAUCACGGAUUUCGCUUUAUCGAGACUUGAUGAAAAGUCACAAACCAUGAGUGAAGAGCGUCUUGGAUCACGAGGAUAUUGUGCUCCUGAAUACCUAUGCGAGGGAAAGAUGUCAUUCAAAUCAGACAUGUACAGUUUAGGAGUUAUAAUUAUCGAGCACACACUUGGACACCCCUUCCCAGCAUGA
rnacentral:rRNA from 1 species